GCAAGUCGAACGGUAACAUAGAUUGCUUGCAAUCUGAUGACGAGUGGCGCACGGGUGCGUAACGCGUAUGCAAUCUACCUUUUACAGGAGAAUAGCCCAGAGAAAUUUGGAAUAAUGCUCCAUAAUAUCAUUUAUCAGCAUUGAUUUAUGAUUAAAGCUCCGGCGGUAAAAGAUGAGCAUGCGUUCUAUUAGCUAGUAGGUGAGGUAACGGCUCACCUAGGCUACGAUAGAUAGGGGCCCUGAGAGGGGGAUCCCCCACACUGGUACUGAGACACGGACCAGACUCCUACGGGAGGCAGCAGUGAGGAAUAUUGGACAAUGGAGGAAACUCUGAUCCAGCCAUGCCGCGUGCAGGAUGACUGCCCUAUGGGUUGUAAACUGCUUUUAUAUAGGAAGAAACACUCCCACGUGUGGGGGCUUGACGGUACUAUAUGAAUAAGGAUCGGCUAACUCCGUGCCAGCAGCCGCGGUAAUACGGAGGAUCCAAGCGUUAUCCGGAAUCAUUGGGUUUAAAGGGUCCGCAGGCGGCCUGUUAAGUCAGAGGUGAAAUCCUACAGCUCAACUGUAGAACUGCCUUUGAUACUGAUAGGCUUGAGUUAUUGUGAAGUGGUUAGAAUGUGUGGUGUAGCGGUGAAAUGCUUAGAUAUCACACAGAAUACCCAUUGCGAAGGCAGAUCACUAACAAUAUACUGACGCUCAUGGACGAAAGCGUGGGGAGCGAACGGGA
rnacentral:rRNA from 1 species